CAGCCGCCGCGGGAAUACGUAGGGUGCGAGCGUUAAUCGGAAUUACUGGGCGUAAAGGGCGCGUAGGUGGUUAUGUAAGUGAGAUGUGAAAUCCCCGGGCUCAACCUGGGAACUGCAUCUUAUACUGCGUAGCUGGAGUGCAGUAGAGGGUAGUGGAAUUUCCGGUGUAGCGGUGAAAUGCGUAGAUAUCGGAAGGAACACCAGUGGCGAAGGCGGCUACCUGGACUGACACUGACACUGAGGCGCGAAAGCGUGGGGAGCAAACAGGAUUAGAUACCCCUGUAGUCCCUGUCUCUUAUAC
rnacentral:rRNA from 1 species